AUAUUUUUUUUAAAUUUGAUUUUGAUUUUCAAAAUUAGUUUUUUAAUUUUCGAGGCCCAAGAUCAGAACCAGUUAAAACAAUUUUUUUGAAAUCUGAUUUUAAUUUUGAACUCAAACUUCAAAUUUUAAAUUUAAAUUCAAGUUCUAAUUAUAAAAGUUAAAUUUAUAUUUGAAUUUUAAAUUUUAAAUUUUAAGUUUUAACUUAAAAUUUGAAAAUUCAAAAUUUAAAAUUUCAAUCCUGAUACAAAAUGUCAAAUUUUAAUUUCAAAUUCAAAUUUCAAAUCUCAAAUUUCAAAUCUCAAAUUUUAAAUUUUAAAAUUCAAAAUUUUAACUUCAAAGUUUAAAAUUUAAUAUAAAAUAUAAAGUUUGAAAUUCUAGAAUUUAAAAUUUAAAAUGUUAAAAUUUUAAGUUUUAGUUUUUCAAAUUACAAAUGCCAAAUUAUUAAAAAUUCAAAUUUUAAAUUUUUUAACUUUUUAAUUUUAAUUUUAAAUUUUUAAAUUUGAGUUUAAAUUUAGGUUUUUAAUUUAAAUUUAAUUUUUAAAUUAUUUUAAAAUAAAAUUUAGCAAAUAAUUAUUAUAUGCAAAUAUAAAAAUUUUUUGUCAAAUAGUUUUAUAAGAUCGCUUCAAAACAAAUACUUUCAAUCUAACUUCAGUCAAAUGCUCUGUAGUUUUUAACCAAAAUCAUUUCGCCAAACCAAAAUUAAUUUUGUAGAAAUCACUUUUCUAAAAUUUAAGCCAAAUGGGUCCUAAAGCGAAACGAGGUUGGGCAAAAUCGAAGCAAAAACAAAAAAAAAAAAGAAAAAUGGGCUAAAAUCACUAUUCACAAUAUUGAGCUCCAGAGCCAAACACUGUUUAGGCUAUUGGAGCUCUCAGAUUCUGAGGAACUAAAAGUUGAGCUCCGGAGUUAACACUUUUCAUGGCACUUGGCACUGGAGUCCAAAUUGUUAGCUCCAAAGCCAACAAAAUUUUGGCCUGAAACUGAAACUGCAAAGAAUGUAGUUUCUUGUUAUUAAGGAGUUUAUCUACUAUUGUUGUAACCUUUUUUAUUAUCCCAUCUGCUAUUGUUGUAAUCGUUUAUAUCCCAUUUAACCCCAAAUCUCCUCUACUAUUUUCCAACAAAGAGAAACCCUAGCCUAGCUCUCUCUCUCUCUCUCUCUAUUUUUGCUCAUUUUUCAUGGAAAGCUUCUAAACUCUCUAAGCUUGGAAUUGAAGCAGAGAUGACAUAUUACGGUUCUCCAAGGUCCCGACCCUCGAGUUUUGGUCUGUAGAUCAAGAAGUUGAGCCUAAGAGACAUAAGAUUGUCACAACCUGCUUCCUAGGGGGUCAACCAUUGUUGAGUCUGUCGCUUGAUUAAUUGAGUAGUUUAUACAUGAUAAUUUGUUAGGCCAAACCUACUGGUCCAAAAUGCUUAAGCCCUUUUAUCAAGUCUAGUUUAUUCAGUUUUAUAUAUCCAUACACACUAAGCAACCUCGUUUGGUUCGGGGAUAAGCUGGGGAAUAACCUCUUAUCCCCUCUUUUGUACCCAAACGCUAUUUUUCGUACCCAAGAAUAGUAGUUCUAAAAUAUCUGGAAUAGGCUGGUAUAACUCGGUAUAAGCCUAGAAUUACUGUUUCACCCUUAUCUCUGGAAUAACCGAGAACAAGAUUAAUUAAACUCUUAAAAUUAAUUUUAAUUAUAGUAUUAAAUUAUCAAUUAAUCUAAUUAAUAUAUUUAAAUUAUAAUUAAUCUAAUUAAUAUUAAAUUAUUAUCUCUGGAUAACCUACUACAGUUGUUCCUACCCCUAUUUUUAUUUUUAAAAAUUAAAAAUUAAAAAUUUAAAUUUAAAUUUUAAAAUUUUAAAAUUUAUAAUUUGUAAUCUAAAAAUUAAAGUUUAUAAUUUUAAAUUUUGAAUUUGAUAUUUUAAAACUUUAAAUUUUAAAUUUUGAUAUUUUAUAUUUUUUAAAUUUAAAUUCGAUCUUAAAUUUAAAGUUUGAAAUUUAAAAUUUUAAAAUUUGAAAUUUAAUUUGAUAUUUUAAAAUUUUAAUUUUAAUUUUAAAAUUUGAAAUUUAAAAGUUAAAAUUUUAAAUUUUGAAAUAUAAUUAUAAAAUAUAAAAAUUUAAAUUCUAAUAUAAUGAGAGAGAAUAAUCAUUAUUUUUACUUAUAUACUAUCCACUAUUCUUCUAUUCCAUCUUUAUUUUCUUAUUCCCAAAAACAACUUAAUUUUUAUUCAAAUCACAAAUUGGUCUAGUUUUUUGUUCUUGCUAAUAUCUGAACUUGUAUCUAUCACUGAAAUAUACAGUUCUUACUAUACCCAAACCAAACGAAUUUCACAUUCGGGUGUAGGACUAUUCUUAGCCUGGGUUUUCACAAAGAUAUCUUAUUUUGAGUUUUCUAAUGAAGAUGGUUUGAAAUUUAGGGAUUUUUCUUAAAUAGUAAGAUGUUCAGAACAAUUAGGGAAAAAAAAAUGAAUUUUUAGGUUUUAGAUGCUUGAUGCUUGAAAACACGUUGCAUCAGACUGUAUACGACAUAGUUAGUUAAUUCGAAUUCGGCAAAAAUUCAGUACGGGAUAUAAUAUGCAUAAAUUUCGUUUUCUAAUUUUUUAAAUUCGUUGAAAAUUCGGCUUAAAAAAGGGAUUCGAUAUAAAAUAAUAAUAUAAGAUAAUUUAUAUUUAAAUAUAAAAAUUAUAAAUUUUUUAUUCAGAUUUUUAAUAAUUUGUGAAUAAUUCGCGAAUUAUUCGGCUG
rnacentral:lncRNA from 1 species